AAUACUUUAUGAACAGUUAAAAGCGGUUAUUUCAUUAUUCUUUUCACUGUUCAUUAAUUAAGUUUUAAUAUUGGAAAGUUGAAUUAUAUAAUUAAGUUAUUAACCAUGAUUUUUUUUUUGGUGAGGCGUUAUUAACCAUGAUUUGAUAAAUGAAAGGCUGGCUAUUCAUCUUCAACCUUUUGGCAGUUUUAACAUGUCAAAUGGUCGGUUCAAAUUUGGAUCAGCCUUAGCCAAUAUAAGUCG
rnacentral:lncRNA from 1 species